rnacentral:rRNA from 1 species
AGGGAAUAUUGCACAAUGGAGGAAACUCUGAUGCAGCGACGCCGCGUGAGUGACGAAGGCCUUCGGGUUGUAAAGCUCUGUUCUCAGGGAAAAAGAAAGUGAUUGUACCUGAGGAGAAAGGACCGGCUAACUUCGUGCCAGCAGCCGCGGUAAGACGAGGGGUCCAAGCGUUGUUCGGAAUCAUUGGGCGUAAAGCGGGUGUAGGUGGCUCUAUAAGUCAGGAGUGAAAGCCCUAAGCUUAACUUAGGAAGUGCUUUUGAUACUGUAGAGCUUGAAUGUGGGAGAGGAUCGUAGAAUUCCUGGUGUAGUGGUGAAAUACGUAGAUAUCAGGAGGAAUACCGGAGGCGAAGGCGGCGAUCUGGCCCAACAUUGACACUGAGACCCGAAAGCGUGGGGAUCAAAC